UCCACUGCAGCUCCUGGGCAGCACUACUGGAUUUAAGAGGCUUCUGGAGUGUUUUUGUUGUUGUUGUUGUUGUUUUUAAGAUUUUAUUUACUUAUUUGACAGAGAUCACAAGUAGGCAGAGAAGCAGGUGGGGGCGGGAGGGAAGCAGGCUCCCCGCUGAGCCGAGAGCCUGGUGGGUCUUGAUCCCAGGACCCUGAGAUCAUGACCUGAGUCAAAGGCAGAGGCUCAAUGCACUGAGCCACCCAGGCGCCCCAGGAGUGUGUUUUUAAGUGGUCUGGAACCAAACCCCCAACAUCUCCGAAGUGUGCUUGUAUAAAGUAAGUCUACCCACAGAAGCAUGGCUUGGAAAGGAAACUUAAGAAAGGAAAACAGCUGUGUCACCACACGGAUCCCUCAUGCU